rnacentral:snRNA from 1 species
UAACCAUAGAGUUAUGCUC